AGAGUGUUUUUGCAAAUGCAAUAACAGCCCUCUCUACUAAAAAUCAUGCUUUCAAAGGAGGAAAGGUGACUCUUUCAUGCAACUACAGUGGGAAUAGCAUACAGAGUUGGCAGUGGUACAGACAAUAUCACAAUACUGCACCUGAAUUUCUCUUGCAAGCUUUGGAAAGUUUGGGUCCAGAGAAGAAGGGCCGUUAUGUUGCUGAAGCUAAAAAGAAUAAAAAACAUCUGACCCUGGAGAUCUCCAAAACUGAAGUUGAAGAUGCUGCAAUAUACUACUGUGCCCUGGUGCCCACAGUAACAGGAAACCCUUCAACACUGUACAAAAACCUGAGGGAUAGAAGAAAGAAAGAAAGAAAGAAAGAAAGAAACCAUCAAUGCAAAUAAAGAACCUUUCAUGUGUCCAACUACUGUAAAUGUGCUGAAUUAUGAAUAAUUACAUUGUUCUCUCACAGAUGAUUGAUUCAAAUUAAUUGCUGCAGACACAUGGUGGCAUUAUUACCAUUUUAUAUCUCAUAACACACUGUAGCCUUGUCAGCAGUUUCAUGUGUAUAGCACAGAUAUAAACUGAUAUAAAAUCAGCAGUAUCUAAAAUCAAAUAUACCUUAUACAUCAGUCAGACUGUUAGUCCCUUAAAAGCUACUGUAAUUAGUAAUACAAACUAAUUAGUAAUCUGUAAAGUAAUAGCAUGAAAUAUACAGAAGAUGGCAGUGUUCACUCAGAUUACAGAAGAUUUAAAUCUUCAGUUGGUAUGACAAUUCAAAAAAAAAAAAAAAAAGAAAAGGAAGUGUGCACAAAAUCAGUCAGAGUCUGUGAGUUAUAGAGUUUGAGCUGCUUGUGAUGAUCCAUGAUGUUUCUAUGCAGUGUCUGGUUCAUUCUUCUCUUUUCAGGUGAUGCGGGUGGAGAAGGAAUAGCUCCUCUCUCCUCAUCUAAACUUGCUAACAAUGGUGACUCCAUUACUUUGACCUGCAAUUACAAUGGGUCUUACAGCAGUGAUUCUCUCCUGUGGUAUCGUCAGUACAGCAGCUCCAAACCUCAGUUUUUGUUUCUGGUUAGUGAAUCCGCACUUGAGCAGCCAGCUGACCCUCCAAUACCUGGAGUGACUGCUAAAGUAAAUGAUGAGAAAAACAGUGUGGAUCUGAAGAUCUCCUCUGCUUCAGUAUCAGACUCUGCAAUGUACUACUGUGCCCUGCAGCCCACAGUGACAGGAAACACAUCAACACUGUACAAAAUUAAGGGGAAAACAACUAACUACACUGAUGAACUACACUAAACAACAAAUGAAACCUUUAUACUGUAUGACAGUGUCUUUAUUGUAUGAUGCUCUAAAAAUAGAUUUGCACAAUGCUGCAGAAACAAAAUGGACAUAACCAGAAAGCUUAGCAGAAGGUCAAGCAGUUUUAAAUUGUGUAUCAGGUAAAAUCAAAUGAGCAUUUCUAUAAUACAAGGUUUUCUCUAUCACGUAUUUCUUGAGAUUAGACUGCUACUUGUAAAUCUAGUGGUAAAAGCUAUGAAAGAAAAACAUGUUGAUAAAUAUCUACUAAAGAGACAGACCCUGGUCUCAGAAAUACAGUCAUCUUGAUUUUGUCAUCCAAUACAUCAACCAUUAUGUUUAUCUUCAAACUUAUUAGUUCAUGGAUUCAUCUGGGUGAGAUUAACUCAUGCAAACAUAUUUUUAUUCAUUUAAAUUAAUAUAAAUCAUUUUGAAUUGAACUGGAAUAAUAUUAAAUGUCAUUUUAUUUCAUUACUCGUCCCUAACCAAGCUAUUUAUUUGUUAGAUGCUCAGAGGCAAAUGCAAGCUUCCCACUAUUGCCAUUUAUGAGCACUGUUGUAGGUAAAAAUGUAACCAUAUUCUGUAGUUACAAAAAAUUCAUUGGAAGAGUGGUGAAUGCACAGUGGUACAGAAAGUACGCUGGAUCUUCAUUCUGGAGUUCUUUAUCACAAUCUAUCAACAUGGUCUUUGGCAGCGGCAAAACCAUCUGUUAUCUCACACCUUUCAGGCAAAGCUGCCACAGUACAACUGGGCCAGUGCGCUCACCACACACCAGCUACAGGUGGGGAGGACAGAGAGUCAUAGAGCCAAUCAAGUGGAUGGGGAUUAUUAGGAGGCCAUGAUUAAGAAGGGCCAGUGGCAGCAAUUUGGCCAGGACACCGGGGUUACACCCCUACUCUUUACGAGAAGUGCCACAGGAUUUUUAAUGACCAGAGAGAGUCAGGACCUCAGUUUAAGGUCUCAUCCGAAACAUGGUGCUUUUUGACAGUAUAGUGUCCCC
ensembl:lncRNA